ensembl:snoRNA
CGCAAAUAAUAAUAAUAAUAAGGGCCUGAAGAAAUGGCUCCUCUGUUUACAACAUACCCAACAGGAAUCUGGGUUCAUUGUGACAAGAGGCACAAAACUUGUGGCCUUCCUAUGAGCAAAUAUCCAACACAU